CACGUAGGGCGCGAGCGUUGUCCGGAAUUACUGGGCGUAAAGCGCACGCAGGCGGUCUGUCAAGUCGGAUGUGAAAUCCCCGGGCUCAACCUGGGAACUGCAUUCGAAACUGGCAGGCUAGAGUCUUGUAGAGGGGGGUAGAAUUCCUGGUGUAGCGGUGAAAUGCGCAGAUAUCAGGAAGAACACCCGUGGCUAAGGCGGCUCUCUAGUACGGUACUGACGCUGAGACGCGAAAGCGUGGGGAGCGAACAGG
rnacentral:rRNA from 1 species